rnacentral:rRNA from 1 species
GUCCACGCCCUAAACGAUGCGAACUAUGUGUUGGGGAAGGAGACUUCCUUAGUACCGCAGCUAACGCGUGAAGUUCGCCGCCUGGGGAGUACGGUCGCAAGAUUAAACUCAAAGGAAUUGACGGGGACCCGCACAAGCGGUGGAUGAUGUGGAUUAAUUCGAUGCAACGCGAAAACCUUACCUACCCUUGACAUGUCAGGAACUUUCCAGAGAUGGGAUUGGUGCUCGAAAGAGAACCUGAACACAGGUGCUGCAUGGCUGUCGU